GAACUGAAGCUCUUGUCCAGGACCCCUACCUCUACCGGACCCCUUGGACCGGAAUCUGAGUGAUGCUGCAUAGACAGUUGGCAGGCUGACAAGGACCUGGCGGCAGUCACCUUUAUGAUUGUAUAAAAUAACUGGCGAAAUACCAUAAACUUGAUUUGGAUUUUGAAUGUGAGAGUGUAAAUAUUUUUAAAUCAACAAUAUUGAAAGAAGGAUUAAUAAUUAUUCAAUUUUCUCGAAGAUAAAUUUGAUGUGGUAUUGGUAAUCUAAAUGACUUGAGAUUAAUACAGAAAGAAAAGAAGUGUUUGAACCAAAAUUGAAGAAGUGUUUGAACCAAAAUUGAAGAAGUGUUUGAA